UAUGCAUCCACACACCCUUGUGCUGCUCUGGCAGAGAAUUCAGUUUAUCUAAACUUCCUAAACCCUUUGCUUGCAUCUAAUUGGUGGAGCUGAGAGAGAGAGAGGGGGGCACUGUAGUUGGCAGAGACACAAUGAUGAACAAAAGUCACAGCAGCUUGCUCAGCCUCCAUGUCUCCGGAGGAACUUACGACUUCCCUCUUGUACUCUGGCUGCCUCGCUGCUGGCUGUAAACAUUAUUUAAAAGAAUAUCUGAACCUGGGCCUUUUGACAUUCCCUGACCAGAUGCUCAGAUGCUGUGACCCUUUUCUACUCAGAAGGGAGUAAAGG